rnacentral:misc_RNA from 1 species
AAACGCGAUAGUUAAUGUGAAUUGCAGAAUUCAGUGAAUCAUCGAGUCUUUGAACGCACAUUGCGCCCAUAGGUAUUCCUUUGGGCAUGUCUGUUUGAGCGUCAUUACAACCCUCAGCUAACCGCUGGUUUUGAACCUGAACGGGUGACACCGCGCCGGUUUUAAAGUUGUAAGCUCUGCUGGCCGCUCUGCCCAACCAGAACAUAGUAAGCACUACUUGUCCGGGUGAAGCUGAACGGUACGGCCUGAACAAAACCUACCCACUCUCAAGGUUUGACCUGAGAUCAGACAAGGAUACCCGCUGAACUUAAGC